AAAAAGAAUGCUGACCACUGUUGUUGACUGAAGGGCCUCCCUUGUGCCUAAACCCUUGACUAUCAUGGAUGUGCAUAUUUCUGGAGGAGAAAAAGAGAUUUAUAAGCUAAAGAAUUUGCCAUACAGCCAAAGAUGCAAUGGUGUUAUUCUUUCCUUACAUGUUUGGUCGAGUCUAAUAAGACCACUGAAGCCUGGAAUUUUCUUUGUGGGAUGGUUUUUAAACCAUAAAUUCAGUUUCUUCAGUAGGUAUAGUCUUCAAGAUUAUUUCUUCUUGCAUGGACUUUUUGUUUUGUUUUUUGUUUUUGCCUUUCACAGAAUUUUUCCAUUUUAUAUAAGCUGUCAAAUUAAAUGGUAUAAAUAUGUUUAUAACAUUUUCUUACUAUUAAUAUGUAUAGAAUCAGUAGUGAUGUCAAUUCUUUUAUUCUUGAUAUUGGUAAUUUAUAUCUUCUAUUUUUUCAGAUAACCAAUUUUUGGUUAUACUGAUUUUUCUCUAUUGUUUAUCCCAUUUCUGUUUUGUAGUCCCCUUUCUUGUUAUUUCCUUCCUUCUGCUCACUUUGGGAUUAAUUUCUCAGGUAAUUAUUUUUAGACUAUUUUUCUUUUUUUAAAAAAAUUAUUUAUUUACUCAUGAGAGACACAGGGAGAGGGAAGGGAUGUAGGCUCCAUGCAGGGAGCCCGAUGUGGGAUUCCAUCUCAAGUCCCCGGGAUCACACCCUGAGCCAAAGGCAGAUGCUCAACCACGGGCCAUCCAGGCAUCCCUAGUCUGUUUUUUUUCUUAAUGUAAGUAUGUAAAGCUAUAAAUUUCCCUCUAAGCACUACUUUUGCUGCAUCCCACAAAUAUUGAUAUGUUAUAUAUGCAUUAUCAUUUAGUUUAAAAUAUUUUCUCAUUUCCUUUAUGAUUUGUUUUGGGCCUAUGGCUUAUUUAGAAGUAUGUUAUUAAAUUUUCUGAAUUAAAAAAAAAUUUUUUUAGUUUAAUCCUGCCAUGGUCAAAGAACAUACUUUGUAUGAUUUCAGUCUAUUUAAAUUUAUUGAGAUGUGAUAUAUAGUCUGUUUGGGUGAGUGUUCCAUAUAAAGUUGAAAAGAAUAUGUAUUCUUCUGUUUUGUGGUGGAGUGCCCUAUAAAUGUCAAUUUGGUCAAGUUGAUUGAUAGUGUUGUUCCUCAGAUCUUCAAUAUUUUAAUGAUUUUUGUCUCUACUUAUUUUUUCAAUUGCUGAAAAAAUAUUAUUGACAUAUGUAACAAUAAUUUUGGAUUUCUCUAUAUCUCCCUUCAGUUCCACCAAUAUUUGCUUCAUAUAUUUUGUAAGUUUGUUAUCAAGUACAUAUGCCUUUAGGAUUGUGAUGGAUUGACUUCUUUAUCAUGAUGAAGUGUCCCUCUUAAUCCCUGGUGAUAUUCCUUGUUCUGGCAUCUAGUCUUUCUGGUGUUAAUAUAGCCACUGUGGCUUUCUUCUGAUUAUUUUUUUUUUUUUGUGAUAUAUCUUUUCUCAUUCUUUUAUCUUUAAUUUACCUGAGACUUUAUAUUUAAAAUUGGUUUUCUAGAGACAGCAUAUGGCUGGGUUUUGCAUUUUUUAUUAAAUGUGACAACUUGUUUCUUAAUUAGUCUUUAGACCAUUUAUAUUAAAUGUAAUUAUUGAUGUGUUUUGGGUUAAAUCUACCAUCUUGCUAAUUUUUAUCUAUUUGUCUCAUCCUUCCCCCCUCCCCCGCUUUUUCUUGUCUUCUCUUAGACUAAUUUUUCAUCCUUUCAUCCUACUGCUUUCUGGUUCUUUCACAGGCAUUCUGGAAUUUAACCUUAUGCAUGUACACAUCAUUAUUCAGGCAACACUAUAAGUGGAUAUAUCAGCAGAUCUGCGGAGCUGUUUCUGUGAAGCUCCCUCUUGUCUACCAUCCUGCCCUACAAAUUUUAGACACUUUGGUUUCUCCUAACUACACACCCUAUUUGUUCAACUCAGGGAGACCUUCUACCUCUUCUUGCUUUCUGCCUCACUGCUUUGGGUGCUAGAAACUGCCCUGAGGUGGUAAACUAGGGUAAUUGUAGGAUUUACCUCAAUUUCCCCCUUCUCUCAAGAAACCCUGACACUUAUCCCCUGUUUUUCAUUGUCUAGAAAUAUUUGUUUUCUAUAUUUUGUCUGGCUUUCCAGUUGUGGAUAGCAAAGGGCAAUUCCUAUAGCAGUUAAUCUAAUGAAUGAAAGAUUUGGUGAUGUUUUCUUUAUUCUGUAGAUACAGUUGUCCAUAUAAAUUUUUAAUACCAAUUUUGUAUGUGAGUGAAUGAUGUCCACCUUAGAAAUUAGUCCCCACAGUGGAAGAAUGUCCCUCCCUUCCCUUCCCAAACUUCACUCUCCAAACCUUAAUUAUUUCUCAUGAAAGUAUUUUCAGACUAUAAAGUUGAAUCUAUAUUUUUCUUAGCUGGAACUGUUUAAGGAACUAGAAAAAGGUUUUCUGAGAUCUCAUUAAUGUAUUCUUCAUUUUGGUAUCUUAAAGGGAUUUGAAUUCUAUGUUCCUGCCAACUUUAAAGAAGACUUUAAAACCAUUUUUUCCAUUUACAAAAUGUAGUUAAAAAACCAAAAGUGUUCAUUUCGUCCUUUACUGGGAUUGGAAAAUUCAUAAAAUAGAGUGGAGUAUAAAAUGGGGAAAAUUGUUGAAUUAUUAAGGUCAUCAUUUGAUAUAAACAGUUUACUCUUACCCUUGGCCUUUAAAAUGAUGAAUCUGUGACAUAAUUUAUGAAGAAAGGGAAAGGGCAAUCCAAAUAGGGUAGAGACACUGCUAGAGAAAUCUAGAACAGUCAAGAUGGUUUGCUGUCAUCUGCAGUACAGGACAAAAACCAUGGAUGAAACAGCUGGCCAUGGGACACCUUGUGCCUCUGGAGUCAAAAGUCAACACCACCAAGGCCACAGGGAGGAGUGGAGAGCUUGUCAGUCUUCUCACAUUGCUGCAACUCAACUCUUGGCAGACUGGCUUUGUGCAGCUUUCUAGAUAAUCUCUUCUCUGAGGUCAGAAGAAGGAAGGCACAAGAGAAUUGAAUUCUCUUUCCUUUUCACUUAGUGGGGCCAUUCUUACUGAUGGGAAAAAAGUAGUUUCCUACAGGGCCGUACACUCAACAGGUUGGAGAUAGCAUUUUCUCUGGAAAAAUAACCAACUGGUAUAAUCGAAUUCCUUCCUUGAAGAGCAUAAGUAGCUUUUUCAAAGUUGCUUUCAUAAUGACUUGCACUUUAUAAAUCAAAAUUUGUAGUUUUGCUUGAGGAAACAAGCUGCUUAAGCAGGCCCAUUUUAGAAAACCUUUUCUGAGACUCUCUCUUUUCACUCAAUCAUUUCAAGUAUGAAACCUAGUGAUUUGGGCAUCAAGAGUAUUUAUUCAAUUUCCUUUCAUACUGUACUGUAA
rnacentral:lncRNA from 1 species